rnacentral:piRNA from 1 species
UGACCAUGCUGCCUUGAAAUCGGUCACACGC